rnacentral:misc_RNA from 1 species
UGUACACACCGCCCGUCACACCAUGGAAGUUGGUUUUGCCUGAAGUCGUUACCCCAACCGCAAGGAGGGGGACGCCGAAGGCAGGGCUGAUGACUGGGGUGAAGUCGUAACAAGGUAGCCGUACCGGAAGGUGUGGCUGGAUCACCUCCUUUUCAGGGAGACCAACUGGAAUGCAGAAGUCGGAAUGAUGAAUGAGGAAUUAUUUCAGCAUUCAUCGUUCAUAAGUCAUCAUUCCCAGACAUCCCAAGGUCGGUCGAAGAAUAGUGGUGAGGCUUUCAAACUAUAUUGGUUCGGUUAAUUGGGCUAUUAGCUCAGGUGGUUAGAGCGCACCCCUGAUAAGGGUGAGGUCCCUGGUUCGAGUCCAGGAUGGCCCACGUUGAAAAAAAAAGUGUGAUAGAAAAGUAUUGUUGAGAAAAAUUUCAGCAACUGCACGAUAUGAAAAUCGUCAGACUGCUGGAUACGUUUCCAGCCAGAACCUUGAAAACUGCAUAGUAACGCGUAAAGAAGGUAAAAGGUAAAAGGUAAAAGGAAGUUUUUCACUUUCCCCCUUACCCAUUCCCCUUUAACCUUUGGAAAAUAACACCAAUGUGGUCAAGC